CACGUAGGGCGCGAGCGUUGUCCGGAAUUAUUGGGCGUAAAGAGCUCGUAGGCGGCCUGUUGCGUCCGCUGUGAAAGCCCGGGGCUUAACCCCGGGUCGGCAGUGGAUACGGGCAGGCUAGAGGUAGGCAGGGGAGAACGGAAUUCCCGGUGUAGCGGUGAAAUGCGCAGAUAUCGGGAGGAACACCGGUGGCGAAGGCGGUUCUCUGGGCCUGUACUGACGCUGAGGAGCGAAAGCGUGGGGAGCGAACAGG
rnacentral:rRNA from 1 species